AUACGGAGGAUCCGAGCGUUAUCCGGAUUUAUUGGGUUUAAAGGGUGCGUAGGCGGUUUGCUAAGCGGGAGGUGAAAUGCCGGCGCUCAACGUCGGAAGUGCCUCCCGAACUGGUGGACUUGAAUGACUCUACCGUGGGAGGAAUGUGUAGUGUAGCGGUGAAAUGCUUAGAGAUUACACAGAACACCGAUUGCGAAGGCAUCUCACGAAAGGUUGAUUGACGCUGAGGCACGUAAGCGUGGGGAUCAAACAGGAUUAGAUACCCUGGUAGUCCACGCAGCAAACGAUGAUGACUAACCGUCGGCGAUACACAGUCGGUGGCCAAGCGAAAGCGAUAAGUCAUCCACCUGGGGAGUACGUUCGCAAGAAUGAAACUCAAAGGAAUUGACGGGG
rnacentral:rRNA from 1 species